UACGUAGGGUGCAAGCGUUGUCCGGAAUUAUUGGGCGUAAAGAGCUCGUAGGCGGUCUGUUGCGUCGGCUGUGAAAACCCGGGGCUCAACUGCAGGCUGGCGGUCGAUACGGGCAGGCUGGAGUUCGGUAGGGGAGACUGGAAUUCCUGGUGUAGCGGUGAAAUGCGCAGAUAUCAGGAGGAACACCGGUGGCGAAGGCGGGUCUCUGGGCCGAUACUGACGCUGAGGAGCGAAAGCGUGGGGAGCGAACAGG
rnacentral:rRNA from 1 species